GGUGCUUGCACCUUUCAAGCGAGUGGCGAACGGGUGAGUAACACGUGGAUAACCUGCCUCAAGGCUGGGGAUAACAUUUGGAAACAGAUGCUAAUACCGAAUAAAACUUAGUAUCGCAUGAUAUCAAGUUAAAAGGCGCUACGGCGUCACCUAGAGAUGGAUCCGCGGUGCAUUAGUUAGUUGGUGGGGUAAAGGCUUACCAAGACGAUGAUGCAUAGCCGAGUUGAGAGACUGAUCGGCCACAUUGGGACUGAGACACGGCCCAAACUCCUACGGGAGGCUGCAGUAGGGAAUCUUCCACAAUGGGCGCAAGCCUGAUGGAGCAACGCCGCGUGUGUGAUGAAGGCUUUCGGGUCGUAAAGCACUGUUGUAUGGGAAGAAAUGCUAAAAUAGGGAAUGAUUUUAGUUUGACGGUACCAUACCAGAAAGGGACGGCUAAAUACGUGCCAGCAGCCGCGGUAAUACGUAUGUCCCGAGCGUUAUCCGGAUUUAUUGGGCGUAAAGCGAGCGCAGACGGUUGAUUAAGUCUGAUGUGAAAGCCCGGAGCUCAACUCCGGAAUGGCAUUGGAAACUGGUUAACUUGAGUGUUGUAGAGGUAAGUGGAAUUCCAUGG
rnacentral:rRNA from 1 species